rnacentral:rRNA from 1 species
GCAAGACGGAAAGACCCCGUGAACCUUUACUAUAGCUUGACACUGAACAUUGAGCCUUGAUGUGUAGGAUAGGUGGGAGGCUUUGAAGUGUGGACGCCAGUCUGCAUGGAGCCGACCUUGAAAUACCACCCUUUAAUGUUUGAUGUUCUAACGUGGACCCGUGAUCCGGGUUGCGGACAGUGUCUGGUGGGUAGUUUGACUGGGGCGGUCUCCUCCUAAAGAGUAACGGAGGAGCACGAAGGUUGGCUAAUCCUGGUCGGACAUCAGGAGGUUAGUGCAAUGGCAUAAGCCAGCUUGACUGCGAGCGUGACGGCGCGAGCAGGUGCGAAAGCAGGUCAUAGUGAUCCGGUGGUUCUGAAUGGAAGGGCCAUCGCUCAACGGAUAAAAGGUACUCCGGGGAUAACAGGCUGAUACCGCCCAAGAGUUCAUAUCGACGGCGGUGUUUGGCACCUCGAUGUCGGCUCAUCACAUCCUGGGGCUGAAGUAGGUCCCAAGGGUAUGGCUGUUCGCCAUUUAAAGUGGUACGCGAGCUGGGUUUAGAACGUCGUGAGACAGUUCGGUCCCUAUCUGCCGUGGGCGCUGGAGAACUGAGGGGGGCUGCUCCUAGUACGAGAGGACCGGAGUGGACGCAUCACUGGUGUUCGGGUUGUCAUGCCAAUGGCACUGCCCGGUAGCUAAAUGCGGAAGAGAUAAGUGCUGAAAGCAUCUAAGCACGAAACUUGCCCCGAGAUGAGUUCUCCCUGACCCUUUAAGGGUCCUGAAGGAACGUUGAAGACGACGACGUUGAUAGGCCGGGUGUGUAAGCGCAGCGAUGCGUUGAGCUAACCGGUACUAAUGAACCGUGAGGCUUAACCUUACAACGCCGAAGGUGUUU